UGCAUCUGAGCACCAAGGAGUCAGCUGAAUAACUCUGCAUCUACAUAGGCAGUGUCCUAAAACAGGGGUCUCGGAGAGAUGUGGGCUGGAUUUGUGCUGAGGAGCAGUUUCCCCUAUCCUGUGGGAUUCCUUCAGGCACUGGGAAUUUGGGAUUAUAGUGAACAGCAGCAGGAAUUGAGGGUGCAUAUUGGCAACAGUGGAGGCAAGGGGUGAGGGCAGGAAGUAACAGAGAAGGUGAGAAAACUCACCAAACUUCCACCACAGCUCUUGAUCUAUAUUUUUGGUCUCUGCUGCUCUCACAUGGACUUCUGAUAUGGGGCCCCGCAGGCUGGAUAAAAUGGCCUGGUGGGCCAUAUUUGGCCCACGGGCCACAUCUUGCCCACCCCUGCCCUAGAAAGUGCUACCAGGACCAAACUCCAGAGAAGGGUCCAAGCCUGGGAAGCAGCACCCAACUUGAGUUACUGGAUAAUGUGCCAGCAUUGUCAUCUGGGUUGUACUGCUGGGAAAGAAUCUUCCACUAUGACGAAGACAACAGAGAAAUAUCUCCUGUGGAGUAGCUCUACUGCAGCUGAACGUGCUGUAGUAUAGACUGUGCAGGUGUCCCUUCUCUGCUUAUUCACGAAGCCUUCAUUCCUGUCUCAACAACUCCCUUUCUGACUUUAACCUUCCCUCAGGCCCCAUGGAGCAGAUGGCUGUUCCACAGGGGGAUGUGUGGCUUCCCUGAAUUCUGUCCUUAUUUCUGUAAUAAAAACAGCACCUGUUCUACUGCAUCAGGACCUCUACAUCUGUGGAAGGAGCUGAAUUUGUCUUUAGGUACCAGCCUAAUUAUGAUAGCUCUGAGAGUUUUCAAUAUGCAGUGAAAAUUAUUUAAAAUGGAAGGGCCUGAUUGCAUUAGGGGCUGAACAAACAUAACUCCAACUCUCCAACUAGAGUUACUAGGGGUGGUGGGUACUCAGCACUUCAGAACAACAUCCUCAGGAUUUUUAUGCUCCAUGUUAAUCUCAGAGAGUUCCAUGUUAUGCAAUGCAGAGAUAAGGUUACUACUAAGGUAUAAGGUAUAUACUAAUCACAGGUUAAUAUAGCUAGACUGCGUGAAGUAAGAACCUGUGUGGCCUGAGACUAGACCAUCGCCAUUUUUCCCCUUGCUUCCAGCACACUGACAUCUGUCACCUCUCAGGCAAAAGAGAGGCAUAUGUUCCCCUUAACCAGUGCCAGCAAACAGAGUGAUAAUUAUUAGAUUUUUCUCUAUCUGAACAUAGAACUUUUUAAAAGUAAAUUCCUGGGGCACUGAAGGAAAACCUGAUGAUUCAGUUCUAUUCUGCCUCAAAAACUAGCUCCAAGCUUGCAUUUCUACAAAACUGCUUGGAAAAGUAUAUAUAUCUCUAAUGUUUUUUCUCUGGUUGAAAUACAAAAAAUACAGGAGAGGAAUAGAACUGAACAAAAUCUUCACUAUAAAAAGGCAUUUUUAUAAUACAUUUUUAAAAUGAAAAUUGUGUUUAAAUAUUUCACAAAAGGAAGAUACAUUAGAACUGGGGUGUUUUCUGAAGCUGGCUACAUAGCCAUUUGAUUACAUCUGGUUCCCUGGCUGGCUGAGCAUCUUAGUUGGUGCAAAGGGUUAAUAGACCUCAGUGCUACUUCUGGAAUAUCAGACUGAACACAUAAAUGGUUAUUUCCAACCAGACUUGACCUGCUGUGCACCUACUUGUGUGUUUAUCUUAUGCCCUGUAAAUACACAUUUCAAAAGCACUGGUCAAUCCCUUUCUACCCUCACUGCUCUGCAUAAAAUUGCCAAAGCAGGUAAUUGUGUAAAAUUAUUAAUCCACAGAAAAUGUAUUUUAUAUUCAUCUAGAAGUUAAUUUAAUAGACUAAGUUGUGAAUUGUUUGCAUCUCUGCCAUUCCAAAAUUACAAAAAUCUGAUGCAAAAUGUGCUACUUUUUACAAGCUAAUUUUACCUGCCUUUAUAGUUCAGCAACUUUUUAAAUUCAGUCCCAAAUAGUCAACUUCUUGUAGUUCAGUUUGACCUUUCAAGCCUUCACUCUUCGUGCUUUAAUAUGAAUUUUCACUUUCAAAACAACAGCAAUGUUCUUGAAAGUUUAAGACAGCUAAAGGUACUUUUUUCCCCUCUGAAGUGAAUCUUAAAUGGUAGCUGAAGUUCAACCAAUCAGAUGUCACAGAUCCCACAUCACCAUAUUAUAUGAGACCUGUUGGAAUCCCAAAACAGUAAAGUGUCUGCAUUCACUGUGAAAGAU